rnacentral:rRNA from 1 species
UACGUAGGGUGCGAGCGUUGUCCGGAAUUACUGGGCGUAAAGAGCUCGUAGGUGGUUUGUCGCGUUGUUCGUGAAAUCUCACGGCUUAACUGUGAGCGUGCGAGCGAUACGGGCAGACUGGAGUACUGCAGGGGAGACUGGAAUUCCUGGUGUAGCGGUGGAAUGCGCAGAUAUCAGGAGGAACACCGGUGGCGAAGGCGGGUCUCUGGGCAGUAACUGACGCUGAGGAGCGAAAGUGUGGGGAGCGAACAGG